rnacentral:rRNA from 1 species
AUUAAUGCAAACUGCAUACUGCUUUGAACAUCGACAUCUUGAACGCAUAUUGCGGCCAUGGGUUAGCCUGUGGCCACGCCUGUCCGAGGGUCGGCUU